AGUGAACGCUGGCGGUAGGCCUAACACAUGCAAGUCGAACGGCAGCACAGUAAGAGCUUGCUCUUACGGGUGGCGAGUGGCGGACGGGUGAGGAAUACAUCGGAAUCUACUUUUUCGUGGGGGAUAACGUAGGGAAACUUACGCUAAUACCGCAUACGACCUACGGGUGAAAGCAGGGGAUCUUCGGACCUUGCGCGAUUGAAUGAGCCGAUGUCGGAUUAGCUAGUUGGCGGGGUAAAGGCCCACCAAGGCGACGAUCCGUAGCUGGUCUGAGAGGAUGAUCAGCCACACUGGAACUGAGACACGGUCCAGACUCCUACGGGAGGCAGCAGUGGGGAAUAUUGGACAAUGGGCGCAAGCCUGAUCCAGCCAUACCGCGUGGGUGAAGAAGGCCUUCGGGUUGUAAAGCCUUUUUGUUGGGAAAGAAAAGCAGCAGGUUAAUACCCCGCUGUUCUGACGGUACCCAAAGAAUAAGCACCGGCUAACUUCGUG
rnacentral:rRNA from 1 species